rnacentral:lncRNA from 1 species
AGGCUCAAAAGCUCACAAAAAAUUGUGGUUUUGAUGUAAAACUUGUAAAUUUAAAAUUUCAAGAUAAUAUUUCAAUCCAGGGAGAACCUAAAAUAAUAAUUUCUGCAAAACAACUUAUCAUGCUUGACUCUCUCGUGUCUUAAAGUAUAAAUCAAACAAUUCAAAAAAAAAUCCAUAAAUAAAUCCAAAAAAAGAAUAAAUAAAAACCCC